rnacentral:lncRNA from 1 species
GGCAUUAUGCAAAUGAGAAGCUUUCCUUCUCUUCACCUCAUCUCCUGAUCUGCACAAAAGUGACUGUAGGACCCAGUGUUGUAGAUGAGCAUGAGAGUGUGGAGCAGAGUCGGCGAGCGCAAGUCGAGCCCAUCAACCUGGACAGCUGUCUCCGUGCUUUCACCGGUGAGGAAGAGCUAGGGGAAGAUGAGAUGUACUACUGUUCCAAGUGUAAGACCCACUGCUUAGCAACAAAGAAGCUGGAUCUCUGGAGGCUUCCACCCUUCCUGAUUAUUCACCUUAAGUGAUUUCAGUUUGUAAAUGAUCAGUGGAUAAAAUCACAGAAAAUUGUCAAAUUUCCUCGGGAAAGUUUUGACCUGAGUGCUUUUUUGGUACCACGAGACCCGGCUCUCUGCCAGCAUCAACCACUCACACCCCAGGGGGAUGAGCUCUCCAAGCCCAGGAUUCUGGCAAGAGAGGUGAAGAAAGUGGAUGUGCAGAGUUUGGCUGGGGAAUAGGACAUGCUCCUGAGCAAAAGCCCAUCCUCACUCAGCGCUAACAUCAGCAGCAGCCCAAAAGGUUCUCCUUCUUCAUCAAGAAAAAGUGGAACCAGCUGUCCCUCCAGCAAAAACAGCAGCCCUAAUAGCAGCCCACGGACUUUGGGGAGGAGCAAAGGGAGGCUCUGGCUGCCCCAGAUUGGCAGCAAAAAUAAACUGUCAAGUAGUAAGAAGAACUUGGAUGCCAGCAAAGAGAAUGG